rnacentral:rRNA from 1 species
UAUUAUAUUUGAUGUUAAUUAUUUGCUGGGGUAAUAAUAGAAAGUUCUUGAAACUCAAAGAAUUUGGCGGUGUUUUAGUCUUUUCAGAGGAAUCUGUCCUGUAAUUGAUAAUACACGAUUUGAUUUACUUGAUUUUGUUGUCAGUUUAUAUACCGCCGUCAUAAGAUUAUUUUUGUUUGAGAAUAGAAUUUUCUUGUUUUUUUAAUAAAUAGUAUGUCAGGUCAAGGUGUAGCUUAUAAUUAAGUAGAGAUGGAUUACAAUAAUUUUAAUUAUAUGGAUAAUUAUUUUAGAUUAAUUUGAAGGUGGAUUUGAUUGUAAAUUUAUUAUUGAUUUUUAUAUUGAUUUGAGCUCUAGAAUGUGCACAUAUCGCCCGUCGCUCUCGUUAUUAAGGUGAG